AGAGUUUGAUCCUGGCUCAGGACGAACGCUGGCGGCGUGCUUAACACAUGCAAGUCGAACGAGGGCCCGGAGCUUGCUCUGGUGACCCGAGUGGCGGACGGGUGAGUAACACGUGACCAACCUACCUUCGGGAGGGGGACAACCUGGGGAAACCUGGGCUAAUACCGCAUAUCGUCCACGGGCCGCAUGGCCUGUGGAUAAAAGGGAGCCUCUGCUUGCAUGCUCUCACCCGAAGAGGGGGUCACGGCGUAUCAGUUAGUUGGUGGGGUAACGGCCUACCAAGGCAUCGACGCGUAGCGGGUCUGAGAGGACGACCCGUCACAUUGGGACUGAGAUACGGCCCAGACUCCUACGGGAGGCAGCAGUGGGGAAUAUUGCGCAAUGGCCGAAAGGUUGACGCAGCGACGCCGCGUGUGGGAGGACGCCCUUCGGGGUGUAAACCACUGUCAGGGGGGAAGAACUUCGCAGGUGUGAAUAGCGCUUGCGGUUGACGGUACCCCCAGAGGAAGCGCCGGCUAACUCCGUGCCAGCAGCCGCGGUAAGACGGAGGGCGCAAGCGUUGUUCGGAAUUACUGGGCGUAAAGGGCAGGUAGGUGGUCUGUUAAGUCUUCUGUGAAAAUCCGGGGCUCAACCCCGCGAAAUGCAGGUGAAACUGGCAGACUGGAGACCGGUAGAGGCUAGCGGAAUUCCUGGUGUAGC
rnacentral:rRNA from 1 species